AUGCUACGACGAAUAAUGAAAUUACAUUCGCAUGUCAGACUUCAGAGACGCCAUGGCAUUAAUGAGAAGAUAUUUCAUAUUCUGAGCAGCAC